rnacentral:rRNA from 1 species
UAUUACGAACAACAGUUUAAAAUUCAAAGAUCUUGGCGGUGUCUUAUAAAACCAGGGGAACCUGUCUCAUAACUCGAUAGUCCACGACUACCCAACCUUCUUUUGAGAUUCAGUCUGUAUACUGCCGUUGCAAGCAUACCUUUAAAAGAAUUAGUAUGCCACAACGAUUAAUAUUUAAUCUCAUACACAUCAGGUCAUAGUGCAGCUAAUAAGAAGGAGAUGAUGGGUUACAACUCCCAAAAGGAUUGGAUUAAAAAAUAAAAAAUUUUAAAAAACUGGACUUGGUUGUAAUUAUAAAGUACAAUAAUGUAAUGAAAUUUAAUCUAAGACAUGCACAUAUCGC